AUUGAACGCUGGCGGCAGGCCUAACACAUGCCAGUCGAACGGUAACAGGAAGCAGCUUGCUGCUUUGCUGACGAGUGGCGGACGUGUGAGUAAUGUCUGGGAAACUGCCCGAUGGAGGGGGAUAACUACUGGAAACGGUAGCUAAUACCGCAUAACGUCGCAAGACCAAAGAGGGGGACCUUAGGGCCUCUUGCCAUCGGAUGUGCCCAGAUGGGAUUAGCUAGUAGGUGGGGUAACGGCUCACCUAGGCGACGAUCCCUAGCUGGUCUGAGAGGAUGACCAGCCACACUGGAACUGAGACACGGUCCAGACUCCUACGGGAGGCAGCAGUGGGGAAUAUUGCACAAUGGGCGCAAGCCUGAUGCAGCCAUGCCGCGUGUAUGAAGAAGGCCUUCGGGUUGUAAAGUACUUUCAGCGGGGAGGAAGGGAGUAAAGUUAAUACCUUUGCUCAUUGACGUUACCCGCAGAAGAAGCACCGGCUAACUCCGUG
rnacentral:rRNA from 1 species